rnacentral:rRNA from 1 species
UGAGGAAUAUUGGUCAAUGGGCGAGAGCCUGAACCAGCCAAGUAGCGUGCAGGAUGACGGCCCUAUGGGUUGUAAACUGCUUUUAUGUGGGGAUAAAGUGCGUGACGUGUCAUGCAUUGCAGGUACCACAUGAAUAAGGACCGGCUAAUUCCGUGCCAGCAGCCGCGGUAAUACGGAAGGUCCGGGCGUUAUCCGGAUUUAUUGGGUUUAAAGGGAGCGUAGGCUGUUUGUUAAGCGUGUUGUGAAAUGUAAGAGCUCAACUUUUAGAUUGCAGCGCGAACUGGCAGACUUGAGUGCGCACAACGUAGGCGGAAUUCAUGGUGUAGCGGUGAAAUGCAUAGAUAUCACACAGAACUCCGAUUGCGAAGGCAGCUUACCAGGCUUUAUCUGACACUUAGGCACGACAGCGUGGGGAUCAAACAGG